AGCAGCCGCGGUAAUUCCAGCUCCAAUAGCGUAUAUUAAAGUUGUUGCAGUUAAAAAGCUCGUAGUUGAACUUCGGGGUUCACUCAUUGGUCAGGCUUAAUUGUCUGUACUGGUGAGAUGAAUCUCUACCUUCUGAGGAACUUUCAUACCAUUUAUUUGGUGUAAUGGGAAAUCAGGACUGUUACUUUGAAAAAAUUAGAGUGUUUAAAGCAGGCUCACGUCUGAAUACAUUAGCAUGGAAUAAUGAAAUAGGACGGAUUGAUUCUAUUUCGUUGGUUUCUAGGAUCACCGUAAUGAUUAAUAGGGAUAGUUGGGGCAACAUUCGACAUCCGAUUCUAUUUUGUUGGUUUCUAGGAUCACCGUA
rnacentral:rRNA from 1 species